rnacentral:rRNA from 1 species
AUGUUGAAACAAGUACUCGACGAAACAAAACAGAUACCCGGAAUAACGACCAGGGCUGGACAUCAAUGCAGCAAACAAGAGAAGGAAUUAGAUGAAAGCAUGAGGAACACAGUGGUGCGACAAACAACAGCCGUGAUUGAUUCUCUCGAACAACUUAAAGAAUUCCAGGACAUUGUUCACAGAGUGAGCUUUCAAGAAGAGAUGACGCUGAAGCUGCAAGAUCGAGCAGACGUAGGAGACACAGCUACACUUGUACAUGGCAACCACACGAAAGAAAUUGUAGCGGCACCAGAACCAGGAGGGAGGAGAAAAAGAAAGAAGGAAGAACAGGACCAACAAAACAAACAUGAAGGGAAGAAAAGAAUAAAAAAAUCAAGAACACAGAACUCGGGAAUUAGCCAGAGGGAGAUAGAAGAACAUAACAAGGUGCAAAAGGAGCAAAACAAGGAGGACGUAUCAACGAACACAUCAAGUGCCGAAAGAUAG